AUUGGAGAGAGGAGAGGCCAAACACGACAUCGUUUCGUCUCUUUCACUUUUCCUUCUUUCCUUCUUUCUCUCUUCCUUCUCUCCUCUCCUCGACGACACGAAAGGCGAUUUUCAUCAUCUCGGUCAAUUUCCUCAACGAGACGGCGUCUCUGUCGGUGGCUCGUCUCGACGAAGGAGAACGAAGUCUCCUCUAGUGGUUGCUCUCCUCGACCAACGAAGACGGCGAGAUUUCUCUCGUGAUGGCUCUCGGAGACGAAGGGACAAACUAUUUCAUUCAUGCAUGAUUGAAAGGUAACGAUGAGUUUAAUUUGUUUCAAAGACAAACUAUUUCAUUCAUGCAUGUAUUAGAUUGAAUCGUGAAUCUUUAGAAUGAACAAGCCUCUGAUUUGUUUUAAUUUUUUGUGUAUUUGUCUGUUGAGAUGGAUGAUCGAGAGGCGCACUCUGGCGAAACCUUGCUCUUCGUCAGACAGAACCCCCACGAUUGUUCAUUAAGGUGGGAAGUACAUAGAGUUCUUGUCUUUUUGUUUCACAAGACAAGUUCACGAGAGAUGGAGGGAGUACAAGUUCACGAGAGAUGGAGGGAGUACAUGUAGUUCUUGUCUUUUUCUUUCACGAGAUGUAUAGUAGACAUGUAGUUCUUGGCUUUUUCUUUCACGAGCUGUACAUGUUUCACUUUAUUAUAUGAUUGUCUUUUUGUCACUGUCUUUUUCAUCA